rnacentral:rRNA from 1 species
ACGAACGCUGGCGGCGUGCCUAAUACAUGCAAGUCGAACGAAACUUUCUUACACCGAAUGCUUGCAUUCACCGUAAGAAGUUGAGUGGCGGACGGGUGAGUAACACGUGGGUAACCUGCCUAAAAGAAGGGGAUAACACUUGGAAACAGGUGCUAAUACCGUAUAUCUCUAAGGAUCGCAUGAUCCUUAGAUGAAAGAUGGUUCUGCUAUCGCUUUUAGAUGGACCCGCGGCGUAUUAACUAGUUGGUGGGGUAACGGCCUACCAAGGUGAUGAUACGUAGCCGAACUGAGAGGUUGAUCGGCCACAUUGGGACUGAGACACGGCCCAAACUCCUACGGGAGGCAGCAGUAGGGAAUCUUCCACAAUGGACGCAAGUCUGAUGGAGCAACGCCGCGUGAGUGAAGAAGGUCUUCGGAUCGUAAAACUCUGUUGUUAGAGAAGAACACGAGUGAGAGUAACUGUUCAUUCGAUGACGGUAUCUAACCAGCAAGUCACGGCUAACUACGUGCCAGCAGCCGCGGUAAUACGUAGGUGGCAAGCGUUGUCCGGAUUUAUUGGGCGUAAAGGGAACGCAGGCGGUCUUUUAAGUCUGAUGUGAAAGCCUUCGGCUUAACCGGAGUAGUGCAUUGGAAACUGGAAGACUUGAGUGCAGAAGAGGAGAGUGGAACUCCAUGUGUAGCGGUGAAAUGCGUAGAUAUAUGGAAGAACACCAGUGGCGAAAGCGGCUCUCUGGUCUGUAACUGACGCUGAGGUUCGAAAGCGUGGGUAGCAAACAGGAUUAGAUACCCUGGUAGUCCACACAGUAAACGAUGAAUACUCGCUGUUUGCGAUAUACAGUAAGCGGCCAAGCGAAAGCGUUAAGUAUUCCACCUGGGGAGUACGCCGGCAACGGUGAAACUCAAAGGAAUUGACGGGGGCCCGCACAAGCGGUGGAGCAUGUGGUUUAAUUCGAAGCAACGCGAAGAACCUUACCAGGUCUUGACAUCCUACUAACGAGAUAGAGAUAUGUUAGGUGCCCUUCGGGGAAAGUAGAGACAGGUGGUGCAUGGUUGUCGUCAGCUCGUGUCGUGAGAUGUUGGGUUAAGUCCCGCAACGAGCGCAACCCUUGUUGUCAGUUGCCAGCAUUAAGUUGGGCACUCUGGCGAGACUGCCGGUGACAAACCGGAGGAAGGUGGGGACGACGUCAAGUCAUCAUGCCCCUUAUGACCUGGGCUACACACGUGCUACAAUGGACGGUACAACGAGUCGCGAGACCGCGAGGUUUAGCUAAUCUCUUAAAGCCGUUCUCAGUUCGGAUUGUAGGCUGCAACUCGCCUACAUGAAGUCGGAAUCGCUAGUAAUCGCGAAUCAGCAUGUCGCGGUGAAUACGUUCCCGGGCCUUGUACACACCGCCCGUCACACCAUGAGAGUUUGUAACACCCAAAGCCGGUGGGGUAACCGCAAGGAGCCAGCCGUCUAAGGUGGGACAGAUGAUUGGGGUG